AUUGAACGCUAGCGGGAUGCUUUACACAUGCAAGUCGAACGGCAGCGCGGACUUCGGUCUGGCGGCGAGUGGCGAACGGGUGAGUAAUGUAUCGGAACGUGCCCAGUAGCGGGGGAUAACUACGCGAAAGCGUAGCUAAUACCGCAUACGCCCUACGGGGGAAAGCAGGGGAUCGUAGACCUUGCACUAUUGGAGCGGCCGAUAUCGGAUUAGCUAGUUGGUGAGGUAACGGCUCACCAAGGCGACGAUCCGUAGCUGGUUUGAGAGGACGACCAGCCACACUGGGACUGAGCCACGGCCCAGACUCCUACGGGAGGCAGCAGUGGGGAAUUUUGGACAAUGGGGGCAACCCUGAUCCAGCCAUCCCGCGUGUGCGAUGAAGGCCUUCGGGUUGUAAAGCACUUUUGGCAGGAAAGAAACGUCGCGGGCUAAUACCCCGUGGAACUGACGGUACCUGCAGAAUAAGCACCGGCUAACUACGUG
rnacentral:rRNA from 1 species